UUAGAUCGUACCCACAAUUACUUGGAUAACUGUGGUAAUUCUAGAGCUAAUACAUGCAAACAGAGCUCCGACCGGAGACGGAAGGAGUGCUUUUAUUAGAUCAAAACCAAUCGGUGGCGGGCUCGUCAUCGUACAACUUGGUGACUCUGAAUAACUUUACGCUGAUCGCACGGUCAUCGCACCGGCGACGCAUCUUUCAAAUGUCUGCCUUAUCAACUGUCGAUGGUAGGUUCUGCGCCUACCAUGGUUGUAACGGGUAACGGGGAAUCAGGGUUCGAUUCCGGAGAGGGAGCCUGAGAAACGGCUACCACAUCCAAGGA
rnacentral:rRNA from 1 species